AAAAAGCAGUCAGCAUCCAAAGACAGCUUUAAAUAUUCUUCAAGAAGCCUGCAGAACUAUUCCUGAAGACUACUUAAAGAAAUGAGAACAAAGCUGCAUAAGCGAGUUCAGACUGUGUCGAAGAAUAAAGGUGGUCGUACCAAAUAUUGACUUUCAAACUCGUUAGCAUUUUAAAACUCUGUAAUGUAUUUCCAUGUAUAUGGCCACAAAUCCUUGCAUCUACUUUUUUCCUAGUAAAAUAUAAAGAAAAAGUGGUGGGCCGAGACUUUUGUGUAGUACUUUAAAUAUUGUUUUCAUUAGCAUUUUUACAGUUCUGUUAUCUGAUUAAAUAUGAGAUUAAUGAGAUGAUGUCAGAUGACAAUAUUUUCUAAUUAUGGACAGACAAAUUUGUAUGAAAAUGAUUUUUAUUAAUUAAAUCAGUUAGAUAUAUCAUCUGUCACACAUUUGAAUGAUAAAUCACUAACACAGUAAAAGCUCAUCUAUUUCUUUUUCUUAGUAAGACCUGGUAUUUUUCCUGGAAUAAUUGGAAAUAUCUUAAAAGACACCACAAUUAAAAUGAUUCCUAUUCCACAAAGCCAUUCAGCUGCUACCCCAAGAUCCCAACAUAACAGUAGACACAAUACAGCCAGUAACAGGAUGCUCUUCAUGAGGCGAUCGCCGUGGGUGAACAGCAUGAUGGUGUAGUCCCACACUGUUGGGCCAAACUUUGCUUCAAUCAGCAUGUGGGUGUCUUGGUCUUCCUGAGUCAGCCUUCCUAAAGGAACAACAUAUGCAAAGACGUGGGGUCCUGGUUCCUGGAGUUUCAGAAGAAUCUGAAAAAAUUCUCUCGGAUGAUGUCCUCCUUGUUGCUUCCCUUCUUGAAAAGCCCAGGUGUGUCAAUCACAUCGACGGGUAUAUCUCCAACCACGCGGGACUCUUUUUCACAGUGAACAGUGACGCUGCCCAGCUUCAUCUCUGACCUGAACACCGUUUUAUUGAGGAUGGUGUUCCCACUCAAGCUCUUGCCUGCACCACAUUUUCCAAGAAGCAUGAUCCUCAGCGGCUCUGUCAACCCAACAGAACAAGCAUUUUUAAACACUAUUCAGAGUUCAUGAAAGUUGUUGUGCUCUUCAUUCUGACUUCUGAUAUUAGCCGUGUUUAAUUCUUAGAACUUCAUGGCUUUCACAUAUUAGCCCAGACUGUUACAUUUGAGGGCACAAACCAACUUUUUUAUUAUGUUGUUACAUUGUGGUAAAUACAUAGCAUUUUGGCAUUUGUUGAUGAAUAUAAUAAAGAGUAAAGAUUAAUAUGUUGUAUGUGGUGUUAUGAUACAAUAUGUGGUUUGUUUUGUUUUUAUAUGCCUGUUGAAAUAUUUUUCAUAUCUUACUUUUUCAGAAAAUUAAAUUUUGUAUUAUUAACCAAAUUGAUCCAGGCAUAUAUGAUUCUGUUACUGCAGAAAUUGCUAUUACUAAAUUUAACCACUAAUUUCAACAAGUGUGUGGCAUAAUUCCGGCUACAAUUUAUUA
ensembl:lncRNA